rnacentral:rRNA from 1 species
GACCUCGGAUCAGGUAGGACC